rnacentral:lncRNA from 1 species
UGAUGAUACAGACUUUUCCUCUGAGAGGUAGACAGAAGGAAUCUCUGAGAGCCACACUUCAGCUUAUUCUAGUCAAAAAGCAAAUAACAAAAAAAACAAAAUCUAAAAAACAUGGCAGAGUUCCCCCCCACCCCUCCAACCCAUUCCUCGGGACCUGCACGCAGCAGAUACCUGCCCUGGUCGCUGGACCUCAGGGCAGCAACGAGACAAGGGGCCCGGGAACGUGAUCACGGUAAGGAAGGCGCCUUCCGGUCUUCAGUGUGGGCCGGGCAGGGCUGGGUGGCAGCUCCGUGGCACCCGGGCUCAGGCUCCUUCACCCGGUCCGCUGUGUUCAGGCACCUUCCCCUGAGAAGCCACGGCUGCCCUCACAUCCCCAGCGCAGCAGGUGGAGAGAGGAGCAUCCAGUAGAGAGCUCACAGCCUUUUCCUUCUGAGCCUGCUCACGUCCCAUCCGUCCCAUCCCGUGGUCACGAGGCUGCCAGGCAGGCUGGGGACAUCGUCCUGGAUGGGUGGCUCUGCCUACUGACACAUCCUGCCAUGGAAGAGACAAAGGAGGCGUGGAAGUGGGGUGUGAGGAACAGGUGCUCGGCCACACACCCUCCUGGGGGCUGCCAACACCCACACACUCUCCUCUCCCUGGGCUUUGAACACACUCGGCUCCUUUGCAUGGGCUGGCCUUGCAGCGAGUCCAGGAUCUGUGGGUGACGCACAGUCCCCUCGUGGAGGCCAGAAGCAAGCUCAUGAGCAGGGAAGCUCUGAAUGCCAAAGGGACAGGGGGUUCUGCUGCCCCUCCACAGCAAGAGUGCCACUCAGGAGCACUGCCCAAGAUGCCCGCCCUGGACGAGGGAAGGGGGGCAGGCUGCAGGCUCUGGUCCACGGUGAGAGCCGAACCCGCACCCUUGUCCACUGUCCGUGGCCCCUGUGCGGUCUGCUUUGAGGCCAACCCUUGCUCUUCCCUCCCUUGCAGAGCAACAGGUUUGUAGCCAGUGUGUUUGGAAGCGCGCGGUGGCUCGCCUGGCCACCCAACAGGUUCAGGUCUCUGCUGCUGGUUAGAUCCAUGUUGUAUGUGGCCUCUCCUCAAGAACUUUCUAGACCUGGAGUCUGUCUUUAUUUCCAGCCCUCUGUUCUCAGCCCACCUUCUCCAUCCCGGGAAGGCAACUACCUUGAAGCCGGACCCACGGGCGUGGGCAGGAAGCCAGCACCUUACGGAGACCACAGCCCGAGGCUGGCCCCCUCAUCUGAUGGAGAACCCCCGCAGCAGGUGCAUGGGGGACAGAGCAGUCCCCUCUUCUGCUAAGACUUUGUCUCCAGAGCCCUCUCUGUGUCUCCUGCAUCACUUCCCAAGGGAGCAGCGGCAGCCCCCACACCCCACCUCCUGGGCUUGUCAGGAUGGCUCUCAGACGCCAGGCUGCCAGUGUGUCUGGCUUCCAAGCAUCACUGAGUGUUGACGAGGGUUCCCACCGUACAACAGGACCCGGCCUCCGUCCCUCAUGGCACCUGGGCCCCUGAGGUUCUUGCUUUUCCUGUGGCAUACUCAGUCUCACAGUCAGGACAGGGGCGUGGAUCCCCCUCAACAGUG